GAUGAACGCUGGCGGCGUGCCUAAUACAUGCAAGUCGAGCGAACGGACGAGAAGCUUGCUUCUCUGACGUUAGCGGCGGACGGGUGAGUAACACGUGGAUAACCUACCUAUAAGACUGGGAUAACUUCGGGAAACCGGAGCUAAUACCGGAUAAUAUUUUGAACCGCAUGGUUCAACAGUGAAAGACGGUCUUGCUGUCACUUAUAGAUGGAUCCGCGCUGCAUUAGCUAGUUGGUAAGGUAACGUCUUACCAAGGCAACGAUGCAUAGCCGACCUGAGAGGGUGAUCGGCCACACUGGAACUGAGACACGGUCCAGACUCCUACGGGAGGCAGCAGUAGGGAAUCUUCCGCAAUGGGCGAAAGCCUGACGGAGCAACGCCGCGUGAGUGAUGAAGGUCUUCGGAUCGUAAAACUCUGUUAUUAGGGAAGAACAUAUGUGUAAGUAACUGUGCACGUCUUGACGGUACCUAAUCAGAAAGCCACGGCUAACUACGUG
rnacentral:rRNA from 1 species